AUGAAGAUGAUCUUCAGCCUGAUACAUCCAGCAGAGCUGUCUCCAAUAACAUCAUAGCACCACUAAGAAAUUUUUAGGAAGGACAAUUGAACAGUGACCAGAGUCCUGAGCCCUUUGGCAGAAGCAGGACUUCCCAGCACAGAGAGCCGAUGAGGUCCAGCCUUGCUUGGGGCACGGAGCAAUGCCCACAGCAGCAGCAGCAGCUGCCCCUGGAAACAGGCAGAGAGACAUGUUGGGGAGAGGAAACGUGAGAUCUGACACUAAAACAGAAGGCUGGAUUUGUGGAGAGAUCUUGAAAAACAGCUGAGAGAAACCUCUGUGGAGCAGCAGGUAACUUCAUUUCCCAUCACCACUUUCUUUCCUAGGGUUAUCUUCUCUUCACUCAAUAUCAGAUCAGAGCUGUUAUCAGU
rnacentral:lncRNA from 1 species